rnacentral:lncRNA from 1 species
AUGCUUUUUUUCUGUUUUUCUUGUCCUUUUUUUCUUGCCUUUUCAUACCUUUUCCACUCAUCAAUUUCUGCCUUUUCCUCCCAGCUUUUCUUGCCCUUUUUCCUCAACUUUUCCUGCCUUUUCCUCCCAGCUUUCCCUCCCAGCUUUUCUUUCCCUUUUUUAAUGGCUUUUCUCACCUUUCCCUCUCAGCUUUUCUUGCCCUUUACCUCAACUUUUCCCACCUUUUCCUCUCAGCUUUUCUUGCCCUUUUCCUCACACCUUUUCCUCUCAGCUUUUCCUUCCUUUUCCUCUCACCUUUUCCCACCUUUUCCUCUCAGCUUUCCUUCCCCUUUCCCUAAUGUCUUUUCCCACCCUUCCCUCACCUUUUCUUACCUUUUUCUCCUCUUUUUCCCUUCCUUUCUCCACGUUUCCCUCUCACCUCUUCCCACCUCGUCCCUGAGGCAAAAUGGCGGAGGCGGCGGAGACAAAAUGGCGGAACCGGGGGGCAGCGACACCCUCGUGAUGUCACACCCCCAUGACGUCACACCCCUAUGACGUCACACCCCUACGACGUCACAC